GCACUGUUACAGUUGCGCUCCUGGUUGGCUUUGUGUUUCCGCGGUGUUGGUAGAGUCUCGGUGUUUCUACCUCUUAGCACCCUUUCCUGCCACCCUUUGUCCUGUGGAAGCCCGGAGACAUCAGCGGCUGCAAUUUUGCUACUCGCUGCUCGGCAUGGAACGGUCAGAAAUGAGCCCGUGAGUCCUGAGUUGGUGGCAGCUGCAUCUGCUGCUCUGUUUUGACAAGCAAACAAGCCAGAACUGCUCAGGCAGCUCCGUAGCAUGAGGAAGAGUCAGGGGCACAGAGAGAUGGAGAGAGACCUAGUUAGGAAAAACAUAUUCAAGGGGAAGAGAUGUAAUAGUUUUGACGUGACGACAGUUACUAAAGAAGCACCUGAACAGACACAUCACCUUCACUUUGGGAUGUGGAAUUUGCUAAAUAAGCCACAGAAAAUGAACAUCCCUUCAGAAUGGGUUUGAAGAGCUGAUCCAGUGGAUUAAAGAGGGGAAACUGGGAGUUUCCAAUUAACAAUGAAGCAGGAGCUGACUAAGGCUUUGGAACAGAAACCAGA
ensembl:lncRNA MRPS31P5 mitochondrial ribosomal protein S31 pseudogene 5